AACGAACGCUGGCGGCGUGCUUAACACAUGCAAGUCGAGCGGGAUCCAACCGGUGGCAACACCGGGGAAGAUCUAGCGGCGAACGGGUGAGUAACACGUGAGCAACCUGCCCCGAAGACUGGGAUAACACCGGGAAACCGGUGCUAAUACCGGAUGUCGUCAUUAGGCCGCAUGACCUGAUGAUGAAAGGAUUCAUCGCUUCGGGAGGGGCUCGCGGGCUAUCAGCUUGNGGUGGGGUAACGGCCUACCAAGGCGACGACGGCUAGCUGGUCUGAGAGGACGACCAGCCACACUGGGACUGAGACACGGCCCAGACUCCUACGGGAGGCAGCAGUGGGGGAAUCUUGCGCAAUGGGCGAAAGCCUGACGCAGCGACGCCGCGUGAGGGAUGACGGCCU
rnacentral:rRNA from 1 species